UUAUGGCAUUAUUGUUUUGAAUCUGGCAUUACACCAAGAUUCUAUUGAUAUUCACUUCAAUUAACAGUACUGUACAAGACAGUAACAUGUCAUAAAAAGAAUGGGGUAAUUUUUCAACCCAGAAAAUGAUAAAAUUCACGGAACGGUCGAAAUGAUAGAGCCGAAACUCUAACAUCUCUAAAGUUAGGUAGUGGUAAUGAUCCUUCCGCAGGUUCACCUACGGAAA
rnacentral:misc_RNA from 1 species